rnacentral:rRNA from 1 species
AAGCUAUUUAGGUAGCGCCUCGUGAACUCAUCUUCGGGGGUAGAGCACUGUUUCGGCUAGGGGGUCAUCCCGACUUACCAACCCGAUGCAAACUACGAAUACCGAAGAAUGUUAUCACGGGAGACACACGGCGGGUGCUAACGUCCGUCGUGAAGAGGGAAACAACCCAGACCGCCAGCUAAGGUCCCAAAGUCAUGGUUAAGUGGGAAACGAUGUGGGAAGGCACAGACAGCCAGGAUGUUGGCUUAGAAGCAGCCAUCAUUUAAAGAAAGCGUAAUAGCUCACUGGUCGAGUCGGCCUGCGCGGAAGAUGUAACGGGGCUAAACCAUGCACCGAAGCUGCGGCAGCGACACUAUGUGUUGUUGGGUAGGGGAGCGUUCUGUAAGCCUGCGAAGGUGACCUGUGAGGGUUGCUGGAGGUAUCAGAAGUGCGAAUGCUGACAUAAGUAACGAUAAAGCG